GUGAGGAGAGGAAGGAGCUAAACAAUAUAAUCUAUUUCUUUCACAUUUUCAGUGGAGCUGGCCUUGACUUCACAGACAAUGACAUUUUAUUUAUUUACUUAUUUUUGAGUUGUAAAAACUUGACAUUUUAAGUUUUAUUUUGAAAGAAUUGUAAAUUUAUAGAAAAGUUACUAAUAGACUACAGAUAAUUUGUUUUUGCUAUGAAUCGUUCAAAAAUAAGUUGCUAACCUGAUGCUCCACUACCUCCAAAUAUUUUAGUUUAUAUUUCUUACCAACAACUACAGCCUCCUAUAUAACCACAAUACAGUCUUCAUACUUAGACCCUGGUGAGGUUUCACUAAUUAUCUCAAUAAUGUCAUUUAUGGCCAAAGUAUCCUGACUUGGAAUCACAUGCUGCAUUUAGAUAUCAUGUCUCUUCAGUGUUUUUCAGUCCCGAACAGUUCCUCAGUCUUUAUUCAACUUUGUGACCUUUAUAUUUCUAAAGAUUAGAGGCCAUGGGCAUGUCAUAUUUCUGUAUAAUUGAAUUCAGUUAUAAAUAUUUGGCAGGAAUAUCACAGAAAUAAUGUUAUAUUCUUUUUAUGUCAUCCUAUCUUGUGGUAUAUGAUUUAAUUUUCCUCCAAUCUAUGAUAUUCACUUUGAUCACUACAUUUUUUUAAUAUUUCUUAUUGUCUGCCAGCCUAUGUUAACAUUAUUAACUAUAAUGUUAAGGGUUUUUUUCAAAUUGGUUUCGAUUCAACUAGUGGAACCCCUUCAAGCUGGCUUCUGUGUCCUAUUGACAUGUCACCAUUACUCUGGCAUAAAAAGAUUUUCCAAGAUCAUAUUGUAUUUUGCUUCCCCCAGUUCUGGAAUUUGCCAUUUCACUUCUCUGAGGAUCUUCAUUUCCUAGAGUGAAGAAUGGUAUUUAGAAGUCAAGAUCUGGAAACUAGGUAUGUUCUUUGCUAUGGAAUAUGUGUAUGGGAAUACAUGCAUAUAUAUAUAUAUAUAUAUAUAUAGAGAGAGAGAGAGAGAGAGAGAGAGAGAGACAGAGAGAGAGAGAGAUGUAUUUUUCUGAGUGUGUACACAUACACACAUUUAUAUCUUUUAUUUCUACAUUUAAUCUGUGUAUAUUGAAAGCCAUGCCUUCAUAUCAUAUCUCCAAUUUCAAUUCGAACACAAAGUUCAUUGCAGUUUUCUCAUUUUCUGUAUUUGUAUAUCUCUCCUCUGAGAGAAAUCUGGCUCCUAUUGUCUUUAAUUUAUCUAGUUAUUUGAUGAAUUCUACCACAUAUAACCAAUCUCCCAUAUCUGUCAUCACCUAUUCCCCAUGAAGAUGCUCUUCUCAUCUCACACAGGCUUCAAUAUCCUGACCGAGGCGAUGCCUCUCACCUGAAUGCCUUGGUCAUGCCAAUCAGGCUCUGAACCACCAGGCCAGAUCUCCCUUCUGUAUCAAUGCCCAUCUGGCACUGGGCUGCCUCCAAGUGUGAAUGCUCUCUUUACCUCACUCAGGUUCUGACUGCCCAUGCCAGGCUGCUCCCCAGGAUCACAGGCCCUCCUCUCUGUGCAUAAUAUCGGGCAACCUAUGCCAGGCCAUUCCUUCUACAGGGAAGCCAUGCUUACCCCACCUGGGCUCUAAAACCCCAUACUAGAUUGUCUUUCCAAGUCUGAACCUUCCUCAUCUUACGCUAAGCUGUCUUCAGGUGUGGAUGCUCUCUUCUUCUGAGAUUUCCUGUUUAAUAGAUUUUGGAUAUUCAUAUAUGUGUAUAUAUGAAUAUAGAUAUAUGAAUAUAUACAUAUAUACACACAUUUAUACAUAUAUAUUUAACAGAUCUGUAAUAUUUUACAUAUCAUGUCAUACUACAAUAUGAGUGGUGAAAACAAGGCAAAUUCAAAAGUCUGGGGGAAAUCCUGGACUUUUUUUCUUUAAUAGGACCAUAUUCUAUUUCGAAAAAUCUAUUCAUUUGUCCAGUACAUGACUCUUCUUCCAUUCAUUUGUUCCACCAUCAACUAUUUAUCAAGUGUUUUCCACAUUCUAGGUACUCUGCUACAUGCUAGAAAUACUAAGAUGAAUAAAACAUGAUCUUGGGGAACAAUUUCAGGAAGUAGACAGAUGGUAAAUAAAUAAGUACAGUAAAAUUUAACAGGUGAUAUAAAAAUAGUAUAUAUAGGGUAAAAUGAGGCCACAAAAGAUGAAGUAGCCAUUCUGUCUGAGGGUGUUGGGACCAAUAUUUAAUUCUCAGGUGCUUGGGCAAAGUUUCAAUAGCUGAGGAAGUUUCUGUCAAUAAGACAAUAAGAGAAGGAUAUAGAAACAGAAGAAAGAAAGAAGAAAGACACUGGUUUAUUAAGGAAGAAUAAACAGUGUGAUAUAAUAUAUAAUUUUUUUUCUUUAGACAGAGAGAGUAUCACUUUUUUGUCCAAGCUGGAGUGCAGUGGUGCAAUCUCAGCUCACUGCAACCUCCACCUCCCGGGUUCAAGCAAUUCUCCUGCCUCUGCCUCCUGAGUAGUUAGGAUUACAGGCGCCCGCCACC
rnacentral:lncRNA from 1 species